rnacentral:tRNA from 1 species
AGAGAGGUGGCUGAGUGGUUGAAAGCGACGGAUUGCUAAUCCGUUAUACGUUUUUAAAGCGUAUCGAGGGUUCGAAUCCCUUCCUCUCUG